GGCGUCGUGGCAGAGUGGUUAUGCAGCGGCCUGCAAAGCCGUGGACGGCGGUUCGAUUCCGCCCGACGCCUCCA
rnacentral:tRNA from 1 species